ensembl:lncRNA
GGAGCAAGUGGGGAGCCGUGUGCACUCUGCAGGAAGCGAGAGAGACGAGAGCUGAACAGUGUCGAGUGAACGCAGAGUUCAUAGAGGGCCGACGGACGUAUUUUCGGGUUGACGGAUAGUUAACUGGAGUGAAAAGCUGUUGUACCCUACUGUGAGGAGGAGACGGACGUCUUGCUGGCGUGUCGGAGAAGUCCCUUCUGCUGGUGUGCUGAACUUAUGUGUUCACGUGGGAGCACGUGGCGAGGACGACUGUGAGUGCUGCUGCCGUGGCCUGCUGGUAGCCUUGACCCAGUUUCCCCUGCUAUCCCCUUGAACUGCCUGGAGGUGUGAGUACUGUUUGCACGUGCUUUUUAUUUUACUGCUUGGCAACAAGUGAAGCGACCAUAUUGUUUUAGGUCCCAACGCACCCGAGCCACGACUCAGGCCUGCAACGAGGGGUUGGCUAGCAGAAAGACUGUAGCACUUGAGGUCUGUGUGUGUCGGUGAGAGUGUGUGUGGGCCCACAAUAUUGUUUGAUUAUUUUGUUUCUGUUAAAGUAGAUACAUUACAUUGUUUAACAAACUUUAUUAAUUUUACUUAUUUUCUUCUGUGUCGUUAAUUAAUCAUUUACUAAAGUGGAGUUAACUUUAUAAUUGACUUGCUUGUGUGUGAUUUAUUUCUAUAUAGUGUAGUUUUAUUGCAUGUCUUAUACCAUAAGCAUUAAAAAGGGAGUAUCAAUAGGAAAGUAACAACAGGAACCCAGGGCCCCUCUCAAUAGAACGUGGGACGGGUGUUACAGUAGUAAUAGUUUUCACAUUCUGAACAUGGAUUUGCAGAGAGAGACAAGCUAAAGCAUCAGUCGCCGGCAGGUUAAUCUCACCUGGAGGACUGGAGCGUCUUGGUGCACUCUGGGGUUCCUACAGCUACACCCUACAGAUGACCAUACAAGUUAAAUCUUUAAAUAAACAGAAUGCGGUUUCAUGUUUUCCAUCUACUGUUACUGUCAUGUCUUACCCUCAAAGACUUGUUGUUACUUGAUGAUAGACCCGGGAAUUGCACCAUAUACGCAUGGAAAUCAUUGUCUGCUACAGAUUAUAUCAGACAGACGCUUUAAUUUCUUUCGUUAUUGAAAGUUUGAUCAUUCUACUUAGGGUGCUGAUUCGGAAACUGGUGCUUUCAAGAUUAAAAAAAAAAAGAAUAGCACCUGAACCUCUUGCUUUAAGGAGUGUGACCAUAACGCCUCUGUUGGCAGAUACAAAGAAGAGCCUUCCUAUGUAUUUGCAUGAUGAUCUUAACUAUUUUCAUAGAGAAACACCUUAUAAAAAGCCUUAUAAUUUAUCUUAUACCUUGGAUUCUUAAAAGUAUGGUGUGUAUUGUCAACAUAAGAAUGUACCACAUUAGGAUUUAAUACCACAUUUGACCUCUG